rnacentral:rRNA from 1 species
UGAACGCUGGCGGCAUGCUUUCCACAUGCACAUCGAACGGCAGCGCGGGCUUCGGCCUGGCGGCGAGUGGCGAACGGGUGAGUAAUGCAUCGGAACGUGCCCAGUAGUGGGGGAUAGCCCGGCGAAAGCCGGAUUAAUACCGCAUACGACCUGAGGGUGAAAGCGGGGGACCGAAAGGCCUCGCGCUAUUGGAGCGGCCGAUGUCGGAUUAGCUAGUUGGUGGGGUAAAGGCUUACCAAGGCGACGAUCCGUAGCUGGUCUGAGAGGACGACCAGCCACACUGGGACUGAGACACGGCCCAGACUCCUACGGGAGGCAGCAGUGGGGAAUUUUGGACAAUGGGGGCAACCCUGAUCCAGCCAUGCCGCGUGCGGGAAGAAGGCCUUCGGGUUGUAAACCGCUUUUGUUCGGGAAGAAAUCCUCUGGGCUAAUACCCCGGGGGGAUGACGGUACCGGAAGAAUAAGCACCGGCUAACUACGUG